rnacentral:rRNA from 1 species
CACGUAGUUAGCCGUGGCUUCCUCCUCAGGUACCGUCAUUAUCGUCCCUGAAGACAGAGCUUUACAACCCGAAGGCCGUCAUCACUCACGCGGCGUUGCUGCAUCAGGGUUUCCCCCAUUGUGCAAUAUUCCCCACUGCUGCCUCCCGUAGGAGUCUGGGCCGUGUCUCAGUCCCAAUGUGGCCGAUCGACCCUCUCAGGUCGGCUACGCAUCGUCGCCUUGGUGAGCCGUUACCUCACCAACUAGCUAAUGCGCCGCGGGCCCAUCUCAUAGCGGAUUGCUCCUUUAAUUGCUACUUCAUGCGAAGCUGCAAUCUUAUGCGGUAUUAAUCUCCCUUUCGGAAGGCUAUUCCCCUCUAUGAGGCAGGUUCGCCCAGUGUUACUCACCCGUCCGCCGCUAGCUUUGUUCCGAAGAACUCCACUCGCUCGACUUGCAUGUGUUAGGCACGCCGCCAGCGUUCGUCCUGAGCCAGAUACAACUCUCUCG